CCUACGGGCGGCAGCAGUGAGGAAUAUUGGUCAAUGGACGAGAGUCUGAACCAGCCAAGUAGCGUGAAGGAUGACUGCCCUAUGGGUUGUAAACUUCUUUUAUAAAGGAAUAAAACGAGGCACGUGUGCCUUUUUGCAUGUACUUUAUGAAUAAGGAUCGGCUAACUCCGUGCCAGCAGCCGCGGUAAUACGGAGGAUCCGAGCGUUAUCCGGAUUUAUUGGGUGUAAAGGGAGCGUAGAUGGGUUGUUAAGUCAGUUGUGAAAGUUUGCGGCUCAACCGUAAAAUUGCAAUUGAUACUGGCAGUCGUGAGUACAGUUGAGGUAGGCGGAAUUCGUGGUGUAGCGGUGAAAUGCUUAGAUAUCACGAAGAACCCCGAUUGCGAAGGCAGCUUACUAAACUGUGACUGACAUUGAUGCUCGAAAGUGUGGGUAUCAAACAGGAUUAGAUACCCCAGUAGUC
rnacentral:rRNA from 1 species